UAUGGCAGAUCAAGUGCAAUGGACUUAAAAUCCUCUUAUAAAGACUAAUUCUUUUAUUAAAA
rnacentral:tRNA from 1 species